rnacentral:tRNA from 1 species
CAAGACGUAGCUACAACUCUAAAGCAUUCAGCUUACACCUGAAAGAUAUCUGCCUGACCAGAUCGCCUUGAA